rnacentral:lncRNA from 1 species
GCAUCACAAGGAAAGCUGAGCAGGCAAUUGCUGCCCCGCCCACUCUGGGAAGAGGGGCGGGGCCGCCGGCUCCAGGGACAAUGGGGUGGGGCGGGCUUUCCCUGGGUGGGCGCAGCGGCUUCCUGGGCCCCCCUCACGCUCUGGGUCAGAGUUCCUUUACAGGCGGACCUGAGAGGCAACUCACCGACUCCUGCCCUGGACCCUCCUGCGCCACUGAACCCCCUGACCUGGGAGCCUCGGAACCUAGGGCUCAGGAGAUGAACCAGGACUUACCCGAAAGUACCAAGUGAACUUCUAGGAAAAGUCCAAUUCUCAGAUGCUGGAUGUCUUCCAAAAAUGAAGCAAAUUAGUAACUUAGUAGCUGAGUCAACUAAUCCUGUUAGAUGGUCAACAUUGAUUUUUUUAUUUUAAUAUUUUUAAGUGGCAGCUCUAGUGUGUGAGAAAAUUAAUGUGGCCGCUGAAUUUGUAGAAAACCGCUUUGACUCUCUUGGGCCCCUUCAUAAAUAAGCCCUGGAACUAAAUAAAAGUCUAGUGAAUACA